CCUACGGGAGGCAGCAGUGGGGAAUAUUGCGCAAUGGGGGCAACCCUGACGCAGCCAUGCCGCGUGAAUGAAGAAGGCCUUCGGGUUGUAAAGUUCUUUCGGUAGCGAGGAAGGCAUUUAGUUUAAUAGACUAGGUGAUUGACGUUAACUACAGAAGAAGCACCGGCUAACUCCGUGCCAGCAGCCGCGGUAAU
rnacentral:rRNA from 1 species